rnacentral:rRNA from 1 species
GAUGAACGCUGGCGGCGUGCUUAACACAUGCAAGUCGAACGUGCGGGUGUAGCAAUAUGCCUGAAAGUGGCGAACGGGUGAGUAACACGUAGAUGACCUGCCCUGGAGUGGGGGAUAACCAUUGGAAACGGUGGCUAAUACCGCAUACAUCCAGAAGAUUGGGAAAUUUUCUGGGGAAAGCUCUGGUGCUCUGGGAGGGGUCUGCGUCCGAUUAGCUAGUUGGUGAGGUAAAGGCUCACCAAGGCGACUAUCGGUAGCUGGUCUGAGAGGACGAUCAGCCACACGGGAACUUAGGCACGGUCCCGACUCCUACGGGGGGCAGCAGAGAGGAAUAUUGGGCAAUGGGCGAGAGCCUGACCCAGCAACGCCGCGUGGAGGAAGACGGCCUUCGGGUUGUAAACUCCUUUUGACAGGGAAGAGAGAGGACGGUACCUGUCGAAUAAGUCACGGCUAACUACGUGCCAGCAGCCGCGGUAACAC